GGGAAUGUGGCUCAGUGGUGAGCGCUUGCCUUGCAUGCAUGAGGCCCUAGGUUCGAUUCCUCAGCACCA
rnacentral:tRNA from 1 species